CACAACUGUGUUCACUAGCAGCUACACAAACAGACACCAUGCCGAAUAAGGCCCUAAUCACCGGCUUCUGGAGCAAGGUGAAAGUGGACGAAGUUGGUGCUGAGGCCCUGGGCAGGCUGCUGGUUGUCUACCCCUGGACUCAGAGGUUCUUUGAGCACUUUGGGGACUUGUCCACUGCUGAUGCUGUUUUGGGCAACGCUAAGGUGAAGGCCCAUGGCAAGAAGGUGCUAGACUCCUUUAGUAACGGCGUGCAGCAUCUUGACGACCUCAAGGGCACCUUUGCUCAGCUGAGUGAGCUGCACUGUGAUAAGCUGCAUGUGGAUCCUGAGAACUUCAGGCUCCUGGGCAAUGUGCUAGUGGUUGUGCUGGCUCGCCACUUUGGCAAGGAAUUCACCCCGGAGCUGCAGGCUGAGUUUCAGAAGGUGGUGGCUGGUGUGGCUAGUGCCCUGGCCCACAGAUAUCACUAAGCUCCCUUUCCUGCUUCCCAGGAAAAGUGUUUCUAUCCUCAGAGCCCAAAAAUUGAAUAUGGAAAAAUUAUGAAGCAUUUUGAGCAUCUGGCCUCUGCUUAAUAAAGACAUUUACUUUCAUUGC
rnacentral:lncRNA from 1 species